UACAGAGGGUGCGAGCGUUGUUCGGAAUUAUUGGGCGUAAAGAGCUUGUAGGCGGUUUGUCGCGUCUGCUGUGAAAAUCCGGGGCUCAACCCCGGACUUGCAGUGGGUACGGGCAGACUAGAGUGUGGUAGGGGAGACUGGAAUUCCUGGUGUAGCGGUGAAAUGCGCAGAUAUCAGGAGGAACACCGGUGGCGAAGGCGGAUCUCUGGGCCGAUACUGACGCUGAGGAGCGAAAGCGUGGGGAGCGAACAGG
rnacentral:rRNA from 1 species